rnacentral:misc_RNA from 1 species
UUAAGUUCAGCGGGUAGUCCUACCUGAUUUGAGGUCACAUUAAUGAAAAAUUGUCCAGUUCAAUGGACUGUUAGAAGCCAAACUGCUUCACGUCAAUAGCGUAGAUAGUUAUCACACCAAUGAACGGUCAACAAAUUGUUCAGCUAAUGCAUUUCAGGGGAGCUGACCUCAGAAGAGAUGCCAGCAAGCCCCCACAUCCA